UCCCUGGUGGCUCAAACGGUAAAGCGUCUGUCUACAAUGCAGGAGACCCGGGUUCGAUCCCUGGGUUGGGAA
rnacentral:tRNA from 1 species